UAAUGUUCCAUCUUCUGUCAGUUUGGGCCAGCCCACCUUCUAGUGACAUCAUCCGGUUAGUAAGGUGGGCAGUUUAAUGGCGGCUGAGCAGUGUUGGUCCGGAGGGGGUGCACUGAUUCCUGGGGCAUGUUAGGUGUGCGUAAAUGACAAGAAACCACACACACACACACACCCAGACAUACACUUAUGUACACCCGCUGUGUUUACAGCCCCAGAAAUUAAGUGGUGACAAUAAAGUGCCUCAAACGGAA